AGUGAACGCUGGCGGUAGGCCUAACACAUGCAAGUCGAACGGCAGCACAGUAAGAGCUUGCUCUUACGGGUGGCGAGUGGCGGACGGGUGAGGAAUACAUCGGAAUCUACUUUUUCGUGGGGGAUAACGUAGGGAAACUUACGCUAAUACCGCAUACGACCUACGGGUGAAAGCAGGGGAUCUUCGGACCUUGCGCGAUUGAAUGAGCCGAUGUCGGAUUAGCUAGUUGGCGGGGUAAAGGCCCACCAAGGCGACGAUCCGUAGCCGGUCUGAGAGGAUGAUCAGCCACACUGGAACUGAGGCACGGUCCAGACUCCUACGGGAGGCAGCAGUGGGGAAUAUUGGACAAUGGGCGCAAGCCUGAUCCAGCCAUACCGCGUGGGUGAAGAAGGCCUUCGGGUUGUAAAGCCCUUUUGUUGGGAAAGAAAAGCAGCAGGUUAAUACCCCGCUGUUCUGACGGUACCCAAAGAAUAAGCACCGGCUAACUUCGUG
rnacentral:rRNA from 1 species